AACGAACGCUGGCGGCGUGGAUAAGACAUGCAAGUCGAACGGGAGUUAUUUAGUAGCAAUAUGAGUGAACUCUAGUGGCGAAAGGGUGCGUAACACGUAGCUACCUACCUCGAAGUUGGGGAUAGCUCGGCGAAAGCCGGAUUAAUACCGAAUGUGAUCGUGAGAUCAAAGCUGGGGAUCGUAAGACCUGGCGCUUUGAGAUGGGGCUGCGGCCUAGUCAGGUAGUUGGCGGGGUAAGUGGCCC
rnacentral:rRNA from 1 species